GAUGAACGCUAGCGGCAGGCCUAACACAUGCAAGUCGAGCGGGAUUCGGUAGCUUGCUACCGAUGAGAGCGGCGCACGGGUGCGUAACGCGUAUACAAUCUGCCUCUUACUGCGGGAUAGCCCAGAGAAAUUUGGAUUAACACCGCAUAGCAUAGUGUUCCGGCAUCGGGACGUUAUUAAAGGUUACGGUAAGAGAUGAGUAUGCGUCCUAUUAGCUAGUUGGUAAGGUAACGGCUUACCAAGGCAACGAUAGGUAGGGGCCCUGAGAGGGGGAUCCCCCACACUGGUACUGAGACACGGACCAGACUCCUACGGGAGGCAGCAGUGAGGAAUAUUGGACAAUGGGCGCAAGCCUGAUCCAGCCAUGCCGCGUGCAGGAAGACGGCCCUAUGGGUUGUAAACUGCUUUUGUACGGGAAGAAACACCACUACGCGUAGUGGCUUGACGGUACCGUAAGAAUAAGGAUCGGCUAACUCCGUG
rnacentral:rRNA from 1 species